CAUCCUCAAACCUUCUUGGUUUCUUGACUGAGAAGGCUUGGACUUUGGAGCGUGCUGGCCUGAGGUCGGCUCCUCUUUAAAUGCAUCAGCGGAAGUCCAUUGACGUCUCCCGUCGGCGUGAUAAUCCUGUUACGCCGCCAGGGUCUCGUUGGGGCUCGCUUAUAAUCGUCUUUGGACAACAUCCU
rnacentral:misc_RNA from 1 species